UACGGAGGGUGCAAGCGUUGCUCGGAAUUAUUGGGCGUAAAGGGUAGGUAGGUGGUCUCAUUUGUCUGGGGUGAAAGCCUUGAGCUUAACUCAAGAAGUGCCCCAGAAACGGUGAGACUGGAGUCCUGGAGAGGGUCGUGGAAUUCCCGGUGUAGCGGUGAAAUGCGUAGAGAUCGGGAGGAACACCAGAGGCGAAAGCGGCGACCUGGACAGGCACUGACACUCAACUACGAAAGCGUGGGGGAGCAAACAGG
rnacentral:rRNA from 1 species